GACGAACCACACGAACGUUAUUCGGAAUUACUGGGCUUAAAGGGUGCGUAGGCGGCGUAGAAAGUUGGGUGUGAAAUCCCUCGGCUCAACCGAGGAACUGCGCCCAAAACUACUAUGCUUGAGGAAGAUAGAGGUAAGCGGAACUUACGGUGGAGCGGUGAAAUGCGUUGAUAUCGUAAGGAACACCUGUGGCGAAAGCGGCUUACUGGGUCUUUUCUGACGCUGAUGCACGAAAGCCAGGGGGAGCAAAACGGG
rnacentral:rRNA from 1 species